rnacentral:rRNA from 1 species
GAACAUGAGAGUUCGAUCCUGGCUCAGGACGAACGCUGGCGGCGUGCCUAACACAUGCAAGUCGGACGGGGCGGGGCAGAGAUGCGCCGCCCAGUGGCGGACGGGUGAGUAACGCGUGGACAACCUGCCCCGUGCAGGGGGACAACGCCCGGAAACGGGCGCUAAUACCGCAUGGGCGCGCGGGGCCGCAUGGCCCUGCGCGGAAAGGGGCGGCGCUGCCGCCCCGGCACGGGAGGGGUCCGCGUCUGAUCAGCCAGUUGGCGGGGCAGCGGCCCACCAAAGCGACGAUCAGUAGCCGGCCUGAGAGGGCGGACGGCCACACUGGGACUGAGACACGGCCCAGACUCCUACGGGAGGCAGCAGUGGGGGAUCUUGCACAAUGGGGGGAACCCUGAUGCAGCGACGCCGCGUGGGUGAAGGAGCGUUUCGGCGCGUAAAGCCCUAUCGGCAGGGAAGAAGAGGCCCGCAGGGGCCGGACGGUACCUGGCUAAGAAGCCCCGGCUAACUACGUGCCAGCAGCCGCGGUAAUACGUAGGGGGCAAGCGUUGUCCGGAUUGACUGGGCGUAAAGGGAGCGUAGACGGCCGCGCAAGUCCGGAGUGAAAGCCCGGGGCGCAGCCCCGGGACUGCUCUGGAAACUGCGGGGCUGGAGCGCCGGAGAGGCAGGCGGAAUUCCUGGUGUAGCGGUGAAAUGCGUAGAUAUCAGGAGGAACACCGGCGGCGAAGGCGGCCUGCUGGACGGCGGCUGACGUUGAGGCUCGAAAGCGUGGGGAGCGAACAGGAUUAGAUACCCUGGUAGUCCACGCAGUAAACGAUGAUUACCAGGCGCCGGGGCGCGCAGAGCGGCCCGGUGCCGCAGCCAACGCGCUAAGUAAUCCGCCUGGGGAGUACGUCCGCAAGGAUGAAACUCAAAGGAAUUGACGGGGACCCGCACAAGCGGUGGAGCAUGUGGUUUAAUCCGAAGCGACGCGAAGAACCUUACCCGCCCUUGACAUCCCCCUGACGGGCCCUCAGCGGGGCCCUCCCGGAAGGGCAGGGGAGACAGGUGGUGCAUGGUUGUCGUCAGCUCGUGUCGUGAGAUGUUGGGUCAAGUCCCGCAACGAGCGCAACCCCUGCCCACAGUAGCCAGCGGGAGAGCCGGGCACCCUGUGGGGACUGCCGGGGAGAACCCGGAGGAAGGCGGGGACGACGUCAAAUCAUCAUGCCCCUUAUGGGCGGGGCCACACACGUGCUACAAUGGCGCGGACAGAGGGAGGCGAGGCGGCGACGCGGAGCGGACCCCGGAAAAGGCGCCCCAGUUCGGACUGCAGCCUGCAACCCGGCUGCACGAAGCCGGAAUCGCUAGUAAUCGCGGAUCAGAACGCCGCGGUGAAUACGUUCCCGGGUCUUGUACACACCGCCCGUCACACCACGGGAGCCGGGGAUGCCCGAAGCCGGUGGCCCAACCGCGAGGAGGGAGCCGCCUAAGGCAGGCCCGGUGACUGGGGUGAAGUCGUAACAAGGUAGCCGUACCGGAAGGUGCGGCUGGAUCACCUCCUUU